rnacentral:rRNA from 1 species
GACGAACGCUGGCGGCGUGCUUAACACAUGCAAGUCGAACGGAAAGGCCCUGCUUUUGUUGGGUGCUCGAUUGGCGAACGGGUGAGUAACACGUGAGUAACCUGCCCUUGACUGUGGGAUAACUUCAGGAAACUGGGGCUAAUACCGGAUAGGAUCUCCUGCUGCAUGGUGGGGGUUGGAAAGUUUCGGCGGUUGUGGAUGUACUCGCGGCUUAUCAGCUGGUUGGUGGGGUAGUGGCUUACCAAGGCUUUGACGGGUAGCCGGCCUGAGAGGGUGACCGGCGACCUUGGGACUGCGAUACGGCCCAGACGCCUACGGGCGGCAGCAGUCGGGAAUAUUGCGGAAUGGGCGGACGCCUGAUGCAGAAACGUCGCGUGCGGGAUGACGGCUUUCGGGUUGUAAACAGCUUUCGCAUGUGACGAAGAGUGAGUGACGGUAAUGGGUAAAGAAGCAACGGCUAACUACGUG